AACGCUAGCGGCAGGCCUAACACAUGCAAGUCGAGGGGUAACAUAGAGUGCUUGCACUUUGAUGACGACCGGCGCACGGGUGAGUAACGCGUAUACAAUCUGCCUCAUACUAGGGGAUAGCCCAGAGAAAUUUGGAUUAAUACCCUAUAGUAUCAUUUAGAGUCAUCUCUUUAUGAUUAAAGGUUACGGUAUGAGAUGAGUAUGCGUUCUAUUAGUUAGUAGGUGAGGUAACGGCUCACCUAGACCACGAUAGAUAGGGGCCCUGAGAGGGGGAUCCCCCACACUGGUACUGAGACACGGACCAGACUCCUACGGGAGGCAGCAGUGAGGAAUAUUAGACAAUGGGCGAAAGCCUGAUCUAGCCAUGCCGCGUGCAGGAUGACGGCCCUAUGGGUUGUAAACUGCUUUUAUACAGGAAGAAAAAACUCUACGUGUAGAGUCUUGACGGUACUGUAAGAAUAAGGAUCGGCUAA
rnacentral:rRNA from 1 species